rnacentral:lncRNA from 1 species
GAAUUAUUGGACAGAAUCUAUACAGAAAUUCAACACAAACACACAUACAGGGGGUGGUUGGUGUGUUUUUUUCCAAUAUGAAACUCACAUGGGCCCCACCCCAUAUGAGUAUCCUGUUUUUCUUUUGUUGGAAUAAUUCUGUACGUGCAGAAUUAUUGAAUAAAUUUAUACAAUCGAAAUCUUGAGGUAAAAACAUACAAUGUGACUUGUAAAGACGGCUUUUCUAUUCAGAUAUCAAGGCUAUAAUAACAAAAAAUACAGUUUUUAAAUAUGUGGAAUGAGUAUCAAUGCAGGUCAUUGUGAGGUUUACAUGUCAAUAUCUCCAUUUUCAAAACUGUAAUACAUCCACAGCA